UACGUAGGGUGCGAGCGUUGUCCGGAUUUAUUGGGCGUAAAGAGCUCGUAGGCGGUUUGUCGCGUCGGCCGUGAAAUCUCCACGCUUAACGUGGAGCGUGCGGUCGAUACGGGCAGACUUGAGUUCGGUAGGGGAGACUGGAAUUCCUGGUGUAGCGGUGAAAUGCGCAGAUAUCAGGAGGAACACCGGUGGCGAAGGCGGUUCUCUGGGCCUGUACUGACGCUGAGGAGCGAAAGCGUGGGGAGCGAACAGG
rnacentral:rRNA from 1 species